GUGAAAUUGUUGAAAGGGAAACGAUUGAAGUCAGUCGCUGGCAUGAAAUCAACUUCUGCGCUAGUGAGUUGUUUGGCGGAUGAGCUAAAAACAGGUGCACUUUUAUGUCAGCUGGUUAGCAUCAAUUUCUACUGUCAUAAAAAGGCUGGAGGUAUGUGGCUCCUUCGGGAGAGUUAUAACCUUUAGUGGAAUGUGAUGGUCGAGAUUGAGGUUUUCAGUGGGUAUUUUCUAGUGUCUUGGUAGCGACAGCUUGCUGACGUUAUUAGGAUCUGCCGGCGAAAAGGUUAGAGUGGAACAUUCGUUAAGGAUGCUGACGUAAUGGCUUUAAACGAC
rnacentral:rRNA from 1 species